GAGUGAACGCUGGCGGUAGGCCUAACCCAUGCAAGUCGAACGGCAGCCCAGUAAGAGCUUGCUCUUACGGGUGGCGAGUGGCGGACGGGUGAGGAAUACAUCGGAAUCUACUUUUUCGUGGGGGAUAACGUAGGGAAACUUACGCUAAUACCGCAUACGACCUACGGGUGAAAGCAGGGGAUCUUCGGACCUUGCGCGAUUGAAUGAGCCGAUGUCGGAUUAGCUAGUUGGCGGGGUAAAGGCCCACCAAGGCGACGAUCUGUAGCUGGUCUGAGAGGAUGAUCAGCCACACUGGAACUGAGACACGGUCCAGACUCCUACGGGAGGCAGCAGUGGGGAAUAUUGGACAAUGGGCGCAAGCCUGAUCCAGCCAUACCGCGUGGGUGAAGAAGGCCUUCGGGUUGUAAAGCCCUUUUGUUGGGAAAGAAAAGCAGCAGGUUAAUACCCCGCUGUUCUGACGGUACCCAAAGAAUAAGCACCGGCUAACUUCGUG
rnacentral:rRNA from 1 species